UGUAAUUACACAAGCAAGUAAUAAAGGAAGUUCAUACAUGUCCAAGUUACAAUUAAGUUUUAAGGAUCUGCAGCCACCAUAUCCAUUCAGAUUAUAAAAGCCUUUGGUGAAAACCGAAAAGGACUUCGAUCUAGAAUUGAAAAACAGACUAACAGUAUCUCUCCACACAGCACUUAAAUGGCGGACAGAUGCAUAAUUGUAUUUAUUAGAUUAUAAAGAUGCAGUGAACUCUGCCGAUAACAAAUUAAAAAGCACUCAUUUGUUCCACCAAUGAAGGAAAUCCUUGCGCCUG
rnacentral:misc_RNA from 1 species